rnacentral:rRNA from 1 species
AACUAACGCUGGCGGCGUGCCUAACACAUGCAAGUCGUACGAGAAAGCCGGCUUCGGCUGGUGAGUAAAGUGGCGCACGGGUGAGUAAUGCGUGGAUAAUCUGCCCUUUAGUUGGGAAUAACGUACCGAAAGGUGCGCUAAUACCUGAUAAUACUGCAUAACUACUGUUGUGUAGUCAAAGAAGGCCUCUGUUUACAAGCUUUUGCUGAAGGAUGAGUCCGCGUACCAUUAGCUGGUUGGUGGGGUAAUGGCCUACCAAGGCUACGAUGGUUAGCUGGUCUGAGAGGAUGAUCAGCCACACUGGAACUGAGACACGGUCCAGACUCCUACGGGAGGCAGCAGUGAGGAAUAUUGCGCAAUGGGGGCAACCCUGACGCAGCAACGCCGCGUGAGUGAGGAAGGUUUUCGGACCGUAAAGCUCUGUCGAGCGGGAAGAAAUGUAUCAUGGCUAAUAUCCAUGAUACUUGACGGUACCGCUAAAGGAGACG